GCCAGGGUGGCAUAGUGGUUUGGGUAUUGGACUAUGACUCUGGAGACCAGGGUUUGAACCCCCACUUGCCCA